UUAAAACUAAUUUUAAUAUUCAAAAAACGAACCAAAGGAAAAAUAUAUGGGCUGCAAGAAAUUGAUUUAUUUUUAGUCUUUCUAAUGCCUAGAUAUUUCCCUGCAUAUUUUAACAAUUAAAAAUUGUAGCAGUUAAUUAUUGUUUUGUAAAAGGCUUUCUAAAGGUCAGAGUGAGCGGCUUCUUUACAGCAGGAGGUUUUUGUACGACCACUGAGCGAGUUUGUAUCACUGUGGAGCACUUUUGGUGGCGGCACAAAACUCUCAGUUGGACGUGAGUAUCUUUCACUGCUUAUCCAAAAGUUCGUAUUUUCUGAAAUAAUAAUCGAUAUGUUUGAUCUUUGAUAAUGAUGGAGACUUAAAACAUGUUGCGGUUGCAUUUCUUGUGCUUUACGGUGCAACAGGUGUUACGAGUAAACGAGAUUGUAGCUCUGUGGUGGACUUUCGGUGGCGGAACAAAACUAUCAGUUGGACGUGACGCCCCGCCCACCCUCACGGUCCUGCCCCCCUCCAGUGUACAGCUGCAGCAGGAGAAGGUCACACUCGUGUGUCUGGCCAACAAGGGCUUCCCCUCAGACUGGAAGCUGAGCUGGAAGGUGGCUGGUAGCAGCUGGAGCUCGGGGGUGAGCCAGAGCUCCGGGCUUCUGCAGAAGGACGGCCUCUACAGCUGGAGCAGCACCCUGACCCUCCAGAAGGAGGAGUGGCUGAAGAAGACAGUGACCUGUGAGGCCACCAAGGACUCCCAGUCUCCUGUCACACAGACACUGAGUAGAGAGCAGUGUGUUUAA